GACGGAAGGUGCAAGCGUUGCUCGGAAUCACUGGGCGUAAAGGGUGCGUAGGCGGCCGUGCAAGUCUGGCGUGAAAGCCCCGGGCUCAGCCCGGGAAGUGCGCUCGAAACUGCGCGGCUCGAGUGCCGGAGGGGAGAGUGGAAUUCCUGGUGUAGCGGUGAAAUGCGUAGAUAUCAGGAGGAAUACCGGUGGCGAAGGCAGGUCUCUGGGCUGACACUGACGCUCAUGCACGAAAGCGUGGGGAGCAAACAGG
rnacentral:rRNA from 1 species